rnacentral:rRNA from 1 species
GAUGAACGCUGGCGGCGUGCCUAAUACAUGCAAGUCGAACGCAGUGGGGACGGGUGAGUAACACGUGGGUAACCUCCCAUCAGAGGGGAUAACACUUGGAAACAGGUGCUAAACCGAUACUGAUGGAUGGACCCGCGGUGCAUUAGCUAGUUGGUGAGGUAACGGCUCACCAAGGCCACGAUGCAUAGCAGAACUGAGAGGGAGAGCGGCCGAACUGGGACUGAGACACGGCCCAGAGGCCUACGGGAGGCGGCAGUAGGGAAUCUUCGGGAAGGGACGAAGGUCAGACCGAGCAACGCCGCGUGAGGGAAGAAGGUGUUCGGAUCGUAAAACUCUGUUGUUAGAAAAGCGGUAUCUAACCAGAAAGCCACGGCUAACUACGUGCCAGCAGCCGCGGUAAUUC